rnacentral:rRNA from 1 species
ACAAGCGGUGGAGCAUGUUGGUUUAAUUCGAAGCAACGCGAAGAACCUUACCAGGCCUUGACAUGCAGAGAACUUUCCAGAGAUGGAUUGGUGCCUUCGGGAACUCUGACACAGGUGCUGCAUGGCUGUCGUCAGCUCGUGUCGUGAGAUGUUGGGUUAAGUCCCGUAACGAGCGCAACCCUUGUCCUUAGUUACCAGCACGUUAUGGUGGGCACUCUAAGGAGACUGCCGGUGACAAACCGGAGGAAGGUGGGGAUGACGUCAAGUCAUCAUGGCCCUUGCGGCCUGGGCUACACACGUGCUACAAUGGUCGGUACAAAGGGUUGCCAAGCCGCGAGGUGGAGCUAAUCCCAUAAAACCGAUCGUAGUCCGGAUCGCAGUCUGCAACUCGACUGCGUGAAGUCGGAAUCGCUAGUAAUCGUGAAUCAGAAUGUCACGGUGAAUACGUUCCCGGGCCUU